GCCCUACCCACACGCAGCCUGAUCAGCCAUGCCGCGUGUGUGAAGAAGGCCUUCGGGUUGUAAAGCACUUUCAGCGAGGAAGAACGCCUUGGGAUUAAUACUCCCGAGGAAAGACAUCACUCGCAGAAGAAGCACCGGCUAACUCCGUGCCAGCAGCCGCGGUAAUACGGAGGGUGCAAGCGUUAAUCGGAAUUACUGGGCGUAAAGCGCGCGUAGGUGGCUAAGUCAGCCAGGUGUGAAAGCCCCGGGCUCAACCUGGGAACGGCAUCUGGAACUGGUUGGCUAGAGUGCAGGAGAAGCAAGGUAGAAUUCCCGGUGGAUAGCGGUGAAUGCGUAGAGAUCGGGAGGAAUACCAGUGGCGAAGGCGGCUUUCUGGACUGACACUGACACUGAGGUGCGAAAGCGUGGGUAGCAAACAGGAUUAGAUACCCUGGUAGUCCACGCCGUAAAACGAUGUCAACUAGCCGUUGGGUCCCUUGAGGACUUAGUGGCGCAGCUAACGCAAUAAGUUGACCGCCUGGGGAGUACGGCCGCAAGGUUAAAACUCAAAUGAAUUGACGGGGGCCCGCACAAGCGGUGGAGCAUGUGGUUUAAUUCGAUGCAACGCGAAGAACCUUACCUACCCUUGACAUCCAGAGGACUUUCCAGAGAUGGAUUGGUGCCUUCGGGAACUCUGAGACAGGUGCUGCAUGGCUGUCGUCAGCUCGUGUUGUGAAAUGUUGGGUUAAGUCCCGUAACGAGCGCAACCCCUAUCCUUAUUUGCCAGCGAGUAAUGUCGGGAACUCUAAGGAGACUGCCGGUGACAAACCGGAGGAAGGUGGGGACGACGUCAAGUCAUCAUGGCCCUUACGGGUAGGGCUACACACGUGCUACAAUGGCAAGUACAAAGGGUUGCAAUACUGCGAAGUGGAGCCAAUCCCAUAAAGCUUGCCUCAGUCCGGAUUGGAGUCUGCAACUCGACUCCAUGAAGUCGGAAUCGCUAGUAAUCGUGGAUCAGAAUGCCACGGUGAAUACGUUCCCGGGCCUUGUACACACCGCCCGUCACACCAUGGGAGUGGACUGCACCAGAAGUGGUUAGCCUAACCUUCGGGAGGGCGAUCACCACGGUGUGGUUCAUGACUGGGGUGAAGUCGUAACAAGUAGCCUAAUGCCU
rnacentral:rRNA from 1 species